rnacentral:rRNA from 1 species
UUUAAUUGUAAUGUUAAAUAAAAAUUAGUAUUAGUAAUGUUCUUUAAAAUUAAAGAUUUUGGCGGUAUUUUAUCUUUUCAGAGGAAUCUGUUCUAUAAUUGAUAGUCCACGAUUAAUUAAACUUUAUUUAAAAAUUUGUAUAUCGUCGUAUAAAAUAUUUUUAAAGAAUUAAUAUUUAAAUUUGAUAAGAUAAUAAAUCAGAUCAAGGUGCAGUUUAUAGUAAAGUAGAAAUGGAUUACAAUAUAAUUUAUAUGUGGAUUAUUAAUUAAAAAUUAAUAUGAAAAUGGAUUUGAAAGUAAUUAUAUAUAUAUUUAUAUAAUGAUUAAAGUUCUAAAAUAUGU